rnacentral:rRNA from 1 species
GAUGAACGCUGGCGGCGUGCUUAACACAUGCAAGUCGAACGGAAAGGCCCAAGCUUGCUUGGGUACUCGAGUGGCGAACGGGUGAGUAACACGUGGGUGAUCUGCCCUGCACUUCGGGAUAAGCCUGGGAAACUGGGUCUAAUACCGGAUAGGACCACUUCUUGGAUGUUGUGGUGGAAAGUUUUUUCGGUGUGGGAUGAGCUCGCGGCCUAUCAGCUUGUUGGUGGGGUAAUGGCCUACCAAGGCGUCGACGGGUAGCCGGCCGGAGAGGGUGUACGGCCACCUUGGGACUGAGAUGCGGCCCAGGCUCCGACGGGAGGCAGCAGUGGGGAAUCUUGCACAAUGGGCGCCAGCCUGAUGCAGCGACGCCGCGUGGGGGAUGACGGCCUUCGGGUUGUAAACUACUUUCGCUAGGGACGAAGCGUUUUGUGACGGUACCUGGAGAAGAAGCACCGGCUAACUACGUG